UACAUGUGGGGCAAGCGUUGUUCGGAAUUACUGGGCAUAAAGGGUGCGUAGGCGGCGCGUCAAGUCACUGGUGAAAGUUUGCGGCCCAACCGUAAAAUUGCCGGCGAUACUGGCGUGCUCGAGUGCGUGAGGGGUUGGGGGAACGAGUGGUGUAGCGGUGGAAUGCGUAGAGAUCACUCGGAAGGCCAGAGCCGAAGGGGCCCAACUGGUACGCAACUGACGCUGAGGCACGAAAGCGUGGGGAGCAAACAGG
rnacentral:rRNA from 1 species